GCUUCGUGGUGUUGUGGUCAGCACGCUGGGCCCGUAUUCCAGAGGUCUAUGGUUCGAGUCCCGGCGAAAGCG
rnacentral:tRNA from 1 species